AACGAACGCUGGCGGCAGGCCUAACACAUGCAAGUCGAGCGCCCGGGCAACCGGGAGCGGCGCACGGGUGAGUAACACGUGGGAACGUGCCCUAUGGUUCGGAAUAACUCAGGGAAACUUGAGCUAAUACCGGAUAAGCCCUACGGGGGAAAGAUUUAUCGCCAUUGGAGCGGCCCGCGUCUGAUUAGCUAGUUGGUGAGGUAACGGCUCACCAAGGCGACGAUCAGUAGCUGGUGAGAGAACGACCAGCCACACUGGGACUGAGACACGGCCCAGACUCCUACGGGAGGCAGCAGUGGGGAAUCUUGGACAAUGGGGGAAAACCCUGAUCCAGCCAUGCCGCGUGAGUGAUGAAGGCCC
rnacentral:rRNA from 1 species